GACGAACGCUGGCGGCGUGCUUAACACAUGCAAGUCGAACGGAAAGGCCCUGCUUUUGUGGGGUGCUCGAGUGGCGAACGGGUGAGUAACACGUGAGUAACCUGCCCUUGACUUUGGGAUAACUUCAGGAAACUGGGGCUAAUACCGGAUAGGAGCUCCUGCUGCAUGGUGGGGGUUAGAAAGUUUCGGCGGUUGGGGAUGGACUCGCGGCUUAUCAGCUUGUUGGUGGGGUAGUGGCUUACCAAGGCUUUGACGGGUAGCCGGCCUGAGAGGGUGACCGGCCACAUUGGGACUGAGAGACGGCCCAGACGCGUACGGGAGGCAGAAGUGGGGAAUAUUGCACAAUGGGCGGAAGCCUGAUGCAGCAACGCCGCGUGCGGGAUGACGGCCUUCGGGUUGUAAACCGCUUUCGCCUGUGACGAAGCGUGAGUGACGGUAAUGGGUAAAGAAGCACCGGCUAACUACGUG
rnacentral:rRNA from 1 species